GAUGAACGCUGGCGGCGUGCCUAAUACAUGCAAGUAGAACGCUGAAGCUUGGUGCUUGCACCGAGCGGAUGAGUUGCGAACGGGUGAGUAACGCGUAGGUAACCUGCCUCUUAGCGGGGGAUAACUAUUGGAAACGAUAGCUAAUACCGCAUAAAAGUCGACAUUGCAUGAUGUUGACUUGAAAGGUGCAACUGCAUCACUAAGAGAUGGACCUGCGUUGUAUUAGCUAGUUGGUGAGGUAACGGCUCACCAAGGCGACGAUACAUAGCCGACCUGAGAGGGUGAUCGGCCACACUGGGACUGAGACACGGCCCAGACUCCUACGGGAGGCAGCAGUAGGGAAUCUUCGGCAAUGGACGGAAGUCUGACCGAGCAACGCCGCGUGAGUGAAGAAGGUUUUCGGAUCGUAAAGCUCUGUUGUAAGAGAAGAACGAGUGUGAGAGUGGAAAGUUCACACUGUGACGGAACUACCAGAAAGGCG
rnacentral:rRNA from 1 species